rnacentral:rRNA from 1 species
UACGGAGGGGGCUAGCGUUGUUCGGAAUUACUGGGCGUAAAGCGUACGUAGGCGGCUUUGUAAGUUAGAGGUGAAAGCCCGGGGCUCAACUCCGGAAUUGCCUUUAAGACCGCAUCGCUUGAAUCAUGGAGAGGUGAGUGGAAUUCCGAGUGUAGAGGUGAAAUUCGUAGAUAUUCGGAAGAACACCAGUGGCGAAGGCGACUCACUGGACAUGUAUUGACGCUGAGGUACGAAAGCGUGGGGAGCAAACAGG